AAGCGGAGCAGGCUGGGAAUUCUGCAAACAACAUUUCUAGGAUGGGCUACCAGCAGGACAAUAGAUUUUUUUCCUUUUACUCAGAUUACAACCGCUCACUUUCGGGUUAUUUGAAAACCAAAUCAUCUCCAAAAUAUCGUUAUUUUUAAACAAGGACUUGAAAAUGAGAUUGAAAACUCUGCAAACAACGUUUCCAGUCCGAGAAUGAGAAUGGGUUGGGACUGUAACCACCAGAGGACUUGAAAAUGAGUCGGAGCUGAGAGGAUCACCAAAACUAAAAGAGCACACAACUAUGCCGACAACCAUCCGUGGAGAUCAGUGGACUGGACAACAGGCCGCACCGAAAAAAGGCAUGGUUCCACAGAAAACCAACUGGGAUGGAUCUCGAGGCAAAUGUGGUUUCUUCAUCAACAUCUUUAUGCUUUCGUUAAUAAAAUAAUUGUAAAAAUACUCUCGCCAGCUUUGAUCCAUGCCUGGGCCUGCAGGACGCAAAUGUCUUUGU